rnacentral:rRNA from 1 species
GGAGCCGAUGAAGGACGUGAUAAGCUGCGAUAAGCUUCGGGGAGUUGCACGUAAACUUUGAUCCGAAGAUUUCCGAAUGAGGAAACUCACUUAGAGUAAUGUCUAAGUAUCAUUAAGUGAAUACAUAGCUUAAUGAGGGGAACUCAGGGAACUGAAACAUCUAAGUACCUGAAGGAAGAGAAAGAAAUUCGAUUCCGUAAGUAGCGGCGAGCGAACGCGGAUUAGCCCAAACCAAUAAAGUUUUCUUUAUUGGGGUUGCGGACAUAUCAUAACGAAGAGGUAUCGUAAUUGAAGAGGUUUGGAAAGACCCACCACAGAAGGUAAUAGUCCUGUAUGUUAAACGAGAAGACUUUAGAUAUGAUCCAGAGUACCACGGGACACGUGAAACCCUGUGGGAAGCAGGAGGGACCACCCUCCAAGGCUAAAUACUACCUAGUGACCGAUAGCGUAUAGUACCGUGAGGGAAAGGUGAAAAGAACCCCGGGAGGGGAGUGAAAUAGAACCUGAAACCCUGCACUUACAAGCUGUGGAAGCACAUUUCUUGUGUGACCGCGUACUUUUUGUAGAACGGGCCAACGAGUUACGUUAAGUAGCAAGGUUAAGCACUUAAGGUGUGGAGCCGUAGCGAAAGCGAGUUUUAACUGAGCGUUCAGUUACUUGACGUAGACCCGAAACCGGGCGACCUACCCAUGAGCAGGAUGAAGCGAAAGUAAAAUUUCGUGGAGGUCCGAACCCACGAGCGUUGAAAAGCUCGGGGAUGACUUGUGGGUAGCGGUGAAAUUCCAAUCGAGCCCGGAGAUAGCUGGUUCUCCCCGAAAUAGCUUUAGGGCUAGCCUCAAGGUGAGAGAUACGGAGGUAGAGCACUGAAUGUCCUAGGGGGUAUUGCACCUACCGAAGACUAUCAAACUCCGAAUGCCGUCAUCUUAUACUUGGGAGUCAGACUGUGGGUGAUAAGAUUCAUAGUCGAAAGGGCAACAGCCCAGAUCGUCAGCUAAGGUCCCUAAAUGUAAGUUAAGUGGUAAAGGAUGUGGGAUUGCACAGACAACCAGGAUGUUGGCUUAGAAGCAGCCACUCAUUCAAAGAGUGCGUAAUAGCUCACUGGUCGAGUGAUCCUGCGCCGAAGAUUUCCGGGGCUAAAACUUACUACCGAAGCUACGGCAUCAGUAAUGAUGGGUAGGGGAGCUUCCCAUACGGGUUGAAGCAUGACCGUAAGGACAUGUGGACAGUAUGGGAGUGAGAAUGUUGGCAUGAGUAGCGAGAUGUGGGUGAGAAUCCCACAGGCCGUAAACCCAAGGUUUCCAGGGGAAGGUUCGUCCGCCCUGGGUUAGUCGGGACCUAAGCUGAGGCCGAAAGGCGUAGGUGAUGGACAACAGGUUGAUAUUCCUGUAC